ensembl:snRNA U6 U6 spliceosomal RNA
UGCAGACUUCAGCAGCGCGUAAGUAAAAGCAGAUCAAUACAGAGAAGAUUAGCAUGGCUCCUGUGCAAAUGAGACAUGAAAAUUUGUGAAGCCUUCUGUAUUUUU